GCUGAAUAUUGUAAGCUAACACCAGACGUAUACAAAUAAAAUGAAGCUGUUUAUACUAGCAUUAGGACUUUUGGCUAUUUGUUUGAUUGAGUGUAGACACAUUUCAAACGAAAACAGGAUUCAGGAGAGGUGGGUUGACUGGGAUGAUCAUUUUGAUGGUCUAGGCGAGGACAUUGCAGACGCCUAUAAAAAUUCUGUAGAUAAAAUCGACUCAGG